UUCCGGCCUGCUCCUCCUCCUCAACACAGUGCCUGAUCAAAUGCCUGUCAACGACUGCCUUCUCACCCACGCUUCUGCCAGCCGUCUAGACAUCAGCAUUCUCGCACUUGUCCAGCACAGCUGCCUCUGCUGAGCCAGAUCCGUCCCAUGCUCCUGCCCCAUCUGCUACACUCCCUGCCCCCUAGUGCUGCUCCCCCUGCAGCUCCUGAGAGAGGGACUCAUUAGCCUGCUGUCCCAGCUGCUACUACCACAACACAAGCUGACCAGAGCGCGACCUUACAGCACAUCAUUAAGCUCAGGAGCUUAAUGAUGUGCUGUAAAGUUAGUGCAAAUGUCAAGGACUUGAAUGAAAGGGUCAAUGCUCUUGGAACAACGUCAACGUGCAGAGACCAGCCCUGAGCAGAUCGUGGUUCCUGCCCCAGUCGAUAAGUCCCGGCCUGCCCCGAGUGGUCAUCCCGAGCACAUGCCAACGUGUACAUGUCGUGCUUGCAAUGUUGCACGCAAGAUCAAUUAAUUAUUAUACAGAUGGCCCGAGGGUGAUAUUAGACACUGAUCAUUUUUAAUGUUUAAUUAAAAUUAAGUACAAAAUCAGUUUCCAUGAAGCAACUUGCAAUUUAUCUGCCACUUAGUUCAAUCACCAAAUUCAACUUACAUUUAAUGCGUCAAACUUCAAUAUUCAUGUCAGCAGCAUCAUACACAGUACACAAAAACAAAAUACAAACAUUCUAUAACUAAAUAUCAAGAUAACACAAUCAUUCUAUAAUCCUAUAAGUUUAUUUAUUAAAUAAAUAAACUUAUAAAAAUUUCCAAGGCUGCAUCACACAACCUUUAAGUUCUACUCACAAACAAGAUGUGUCACUCCAUCUCCUCCCAGCCUCUCUGGUCUGGGACUAGAACCUCUGCCUCUCAGUCUGUUACUGAAUUAUUCCUAUUUUACACACUAUAAUAUACCCACACGCUUCUACCGAUGAUCUGUCCAUUAGGCGUGGUGAUUCAUGCACUCUAACCAGUCACUCACUAUAUUUGACCUUUUGACCAAUCUGACAAUAUAUCCUUAACCAAUCAAAUCAAAAAUUAAAACAAGGUUCAAAGCGGAGUGUACGAGUAUGUAGGCGUUGAUAUGUUUCCAUAGGUUGACUUAUUUUCCUUGGUAAUUUACUUUCCCUUUCAGGCUCCACCUUUCCUAUCGCUCUGCCUCCUUGAUACGGAACCCUGUUAAUCCUCUUUUCACGGUAGUAGUGACCCGCUUCGUUUUUGUUGUUUUGGCUAUGGGAUCGUUUGCUAUCCCAUUAUUCCUGUAGUUCCGGCCUCGUGUUUUGCUCUUUCUGGUUCCCUAGUCCUGGACAUCUCACAGGAAGGUGUAAAUUACCCUUCCGGAAAGAACCGGCUUGUUGUUUAUCUGCUUCUGUUAUUUAUUCUACUUUCUUCUUUCUUCUCUCUUCUUUUCUUCUUUCUUUUUCUUUAUUUUCUCUUCUUUCUUCUCUCUUGUUUCUUCAUUAUGUAAUAUACUGAUGCGUUCAGGGUUACAAGAUAUACAGCCCCAGCCUGUGCCUCCCCCCCCCCAGUCUCCACCCUUGCCAGCCCCAGCCCAGCCCCUGCCUGUGCUGAUCCAUUCCCCUCCACAGUCUGUUUCCUUUUCUGAAGAUGUAUAUCCGGAGUCCGACUAUAAUGCCAUGGACGCUGCUAAUGAGGACAAGCCUGCUGACAGAGUUGUGUCUGUCAUCGCCGUGAAUCUCGAGGUUCCUCAAAGGGGUGGGGAACAGUGUCCCUCUCCUGCUACUCCCCGGACUGAACUGUAUGACUUAGAAAUGGAAGUGCGACAGGUGACUUCAUUGGCUGAGCAGUUGGCUCAGCUAUAUCAACGACUCCCUUCCAUAGGCACUACUGUCCAGUUCACAUAAUGCACGGUCUCUUCUGAGUGACCACUUCGCGCUGGAAACCACCUUCUGUGUCCCUACCUCCCCGCUGUGUCUAGGAAGCUUCUUAGCGUCCCCAGUGAUCAGAUGCCACUACUUGUCCUUCAUUUCACCACGUGGUACUCCAGCAUGCAUGGUUCCUUCAUCGAUCCUACCGCGCUUUACAAGGGGCUCCUGAAUGCCAUCGAGGGAUUCGUUGGUGCCACAUUAACUCCACCCAGGCCCCAGAGGUCAUGUUCUCGGUCCUAACCCAACGACCCCCAGGUUCUCCAAUGUCAACAGAUACUCGCUGCCUGUCAGAGGCGGUGGCAGAAUGACUGAUGACCGUGAGGCUCGGAAGGCCAUGGUUACCGUGGCCCGACACUUUACUGAGUUCCAAUAACAGGCAAGGAAGAGAUACUGGGAUGCUUUCCUGUGUCGUAUGAGCAGAACCCGGUCUCAGCAGGAGGUGUGGCUUCAUGUGAACAAAAUUAGAGACAAGUCCAGGCAUCAGAUCAAUGAUCGUGACCCAGUCGGCAAAGCACAGGAACUUAUUAUGCAGUGGAAGCAAGCCUCUUUGGUGGAUGGCCUCCCUGCUACUUGACCUGUACUCCCUGCACUGUACUCCCUGUACUUGACCUGCUCAACAUGCUAUUUACCUUAGGCCAGCUGCAAGCUGCUUGGAAAGCUGCAUUUAUGAUUCCCAUCCCCAAAGGCAAUUGUACCUUUCGUUCCAUGUCCCUCACAAGCUGUUUGUGUAAGAUGAUGGAAAGAGAAAUACUAAAUAGGCUUUUAUACAAAGUGGGCCAUGGCCUUUCUCGAAACAUGCAUGGUUUCUUAAAAGGUCAUUCCACUAGCCACUGUUUUGUGAAAUGUCUUAGUAAGAAGAUGCUACUUGUAGAGGUUUCAAUGAUCUCAAGAGGGCCUUUGAUAGGGCCAAUAAAGCUCUUGUACUGGAAGAAAUUGUUCUAAAGGGUGUCAAAGGCAAAUUAUUAGGUUCGGUUAGGGACUACUUGUAUGAUUGGCACAAGUUCGGUUACAAGAUUCAGUAUCCUCUGUGGAACCCCUGUGGAAGGAUGGCGUCCCCAGUUAGAGGAGUUGAUGAGACGAAAAGCUUUUGAUUUUACCAUGUCUAGAAGAGCGGUAUGAGUGGAACCCCCCAAUACAUGGAUGGAUAAGGCCCUUGUACAAAGUUAGCAAGUGGGUGAGAAAAACUGUCGGAGACGUCUUAGACUAGCUUCAUAGAAGCUGUUUUAGCUAUGAGAUGAGAUGAGAUGAGAUGAGAUGUGAAGUUUCCUGUUCAGAUUAUAAGUAGAGGACAGACCGAGGAUGUUCAGUGUGGAAGAGAGGGACAGUUGAGUGUCAUUGAAGAAGAGGGGAUAGUUGUCUGGAAGGCUGUGUCGAGGUGAUAGAUGGAGGAAUUGAGUUUUUGAGGCAUUGAACAAUACCAAGUUUGCUCUGCCCCAAUCAGAAAUUUUAGAAAAAAUCAGAAGUUAGGCGUUCUGUGGCUUCCCUGUGUGAAAUGUUUACUUCCUGAAGUGUUGGACGUCUAUGAAAAGAUGUGGAAUUGUGCAGGGUGGUGUCAUCAGCGUAACAGUGGAUAGGACAAAAAGUUUGGUUUAAAAGGUCAUUGAUGAAUAAUAAGAAAAGAGUGGAUGACAGGACAGAACCCUGAGGAACACCACUGUUAAUAGAUUUAGGAGAACAGUGACCGUCUACCAUAGCAGCAAUAGAACGGUCAAGAUGAAGUUACAGAGAGAAGGACAGAAGCCGUAGGAGGGUAGUUUCGAAAUCAAAGCUUUGUACCAGACUCUAUCAAAAGCUUUUGAUAUGUCCAAGGCAACAGCUAAAGUUUCGCCAAAAUCUCUAAAAGAGGAUGACCAAGACUCAGUAAGGAAAGCCAGAAGAUCACCAGUAGAGCGGCCUUGACGGAACCCCUACUGACGAUCAGGUAGAAGGUUGUGAAGUGAUAGAUGUUUAAGAAUCUUCCUGUUGAGGGUAGAUUCAAAAACUUUAGAUAGGCAGGAAAUUAAAGCAAUAGGACGGUAGUUUGAGGGAUUAGAACGGUCACCCUUUUAAGGAACAGGUUGAAUGUAGGCAAACUUCCAGCAAGAAGAAAAGGUAGAUGUUGACAGACAAAGCUGAAAGAGCUUGACUAGGCAAGGUGCAAGCACGGAGGCACAGUUUCGGAGAACAAUAGGAGGGACCCCAUCAGGUCCAUAAGCCUUCCGAGGGUUUAGGCCAGCGAGGGCAUGGAAAACAUCAUUGCGAAGAAUUUUAAUAGGUGGCAUGAAGUAGUCAGAGGGUGGAGGAGAGGGAGGAACAAGCCCAGAAUCGUCCAAGGUAGAGUUUUUAGCAAAGGUUUGAGCAGAGUUCAGCUUUAGAAAUAGAUUUGAUAGCAGUGGUGCCAUCUGGUUGAAAUAGAAGAGGGAAAAAAGAAGAAGCAAAGUUAUUGGAGAUAUUUUUGGCUAGAUGCCAGAAGUCACGAGGGGAGUUAGAUCUUGAAAGGUUUUGACAUUUUCUGUUAAUGAAGGAGUUUUUAGCUAGUUGGAGAACAGACUUGGCAUGGUUCCGGGCAGAAAUAUAAAGUGCAUGAGAUUCUGGUGAUGGAAGGCUUAAGUACCCUUUGUGGGCCACCUCUCUAUCAUGUAUAGCACGAGAACAAGCUGUGUUAAACCAAGGUUUAGAAGGUUUAGGACGAGAAAAAGAGUGAGGAAUGUACGCCUCCAUGCCAGACACUAUCACCUCUGUUAUGCGCUCAGUACACAAAGAUGGGUCUCUGACAAGGAAGCAGUAGUCAUUUCAAGGAAAAUCAGCAAAAUACCUCCUCAGGUCCCCCCAACUACCAGAGGCAAAACGCCAGAGGCACCUUCGCUUAGGGGGAUCCUGAGGAGGGAUUGGAGCGAUAGGACAAGAUAAAGAUAUGAGAUUGUGAUCGGAGGAGCCCAACGGAGAAGAAAGGGUGACAGCAUAAGCAGAAGGAUUAGAGGUCAGGAAAAGGUCAAGAAUGUUGGGCGUAUCUCCAAGACGGUCAGGAAUACGAGUAGGGUGUUGCACUAAUCCUGUGAAGGAUAGAUUCAAAAACUUUAGAUUGGCAGGAAAUUAAAGCAAUAGGACGGCAAUUUGAGGGAUUAGAACGGUCACCCUUUUAGGAACAGACUGAAUGUAGGCAAACUUCCAGCAAGAAGGAAAGGUAGAUGUUGACAGACAGAGCUAAAAGAAUUUGGCUAGGCAAGGUGCAAGCACGGAGGCACAGUUUCGGAGAACAAUAGGUGGAACCCCAUCAGGUCCAUAAGCCUUCCGAGGGUUUAGGCCAGCGAGGGUAUGAAAAACAUCAUUGCGAAGAAUUUUAAUAGGUAGCAUGAAGUAGUCAGAGGGUGGAGAAGAGGGAGGAACAAGCCCAGAAUCGUCCAAGGUAGAAAUUUUAGCAAAGGUUUGAGCGAAGCAGUUUAGCUUUAGAAAUAGAUGUGACAGCAGUGGUGCCAUCUGGUUGAAAUAAAGGAGGGAAAGAAGAAAAAGCAAAGUUAUUGGAGAUAUUUUUGGAUAGAUGCCAGAAGUCACGAGGGGAAUUAGACCUUGAAAGAUUUUGACACUUUCUGUUAAUGAAGUUUUUGGUAGUUGAAGAACAGACUUGGCAUGGUUCCGGGUAGAAAUAUAAAGUGCAUGAGAUUCUGAUGAUGGAAGAUUUAAGUACCUUUUGUGGGCCACCUCUCUAUCAUGUAUAGCACGAGAACAAGCUGCUCUUUUUCUUCCAAGGUUUGGAAAGUUUAGGUCGAGAAAAAGAGUGAGGAAUAUACGCCUCCAUGCUAGACACUAUCACCUCUGUUAUGCGCUCAGCACACAAAGACGAGUCUCUGACACGGAAGCAGUAGUCAUUCCAAGGAAAUUCAGUAAAAUACUUUCUCAGGUCCCUCCAACUAGCAGAGGCAAAACGCCAGAGACACCUUCGCUUAGGGGGAUCUUGAGGAGGGAUUGGAGCGAUAGGACAAGAUACAGAUAUGAUAUUGUGGUCGGAGGAGCCCAAAGGAGAAGAGAGGACGACAGCAUAAGCAGAAGAAUUCGAGGUCAGGAAAAGGUCCAGAAUGUUGGGCGUAUCUCUAAGACAGUCAAGAAUACGAGUAGAGUGCUGCAUCAAUUGCUUUAGGUCAUGGAGGAUAGCAAGGUUGAAGGCUAGUUCACCAGGAUGGUCAGUGAAGGGAGAGGAAAGCCAAAGCUGGUGGUGAACACUGACGUCUCCAAGAAUGGAGAUCUCUGGAAAAGGGAAGAGAGUCAGAAUGUGCUCCACUUUGGAAGUUAUCAGAAUUUCUUCUAGUCAGAGGAGUAAGUUGAGAAAUAUACAGCACAGACAAAUUUAGUUUGAGAGUGACUCUGUAGUCGUAGCCAGGUGAUGGAAAACUCGGAAGAUUCAAGAGCGUGGGCACGAGAGCAGGUUAAGUCGUUGCGCACAUAAACCAAACAUAUAGCAUUCGAUCGAAAAUGAGGAUAGAGAAAGUAUGAGGGAACAGAAAAGGGGUUACUCUCAAUUGCCUCAGACACCUGAGUUUCAGUGAGGAAAAGAUGAGGUUUAGAAGAGAAGAGGUGGUAUUCUACAUACUGAAAAUUAGAUCUUAGACCACGAUUGUUGCAGAAGUUAAUGAAGAAAAAAUUGAGUGGGGUGUCAAGACACUUAGGUUCGUCGUCAGAGUCCGACCUGGGGACAUUUCUGGUCCCCUCCCCAGAUGGGGACUCCGAGGCUGGUGUAGGAGUCACCAUGAAUUUUGAAAUUUUGAAUGAAGGAUGUGUGCGUUAUUAGGUGCUUGUAGUUUUAUGUGGAGGAAGACAGUUGUCUUUAGAGGGCAGGCUGUGACUGCUCCCUUGUCUUGCGAGACAUAAAGGAAAACAUUCAGUGAGGUCACAGCUGGGUUUAAUGAUAAGUUCAUAGCACCCCCUGAUCCAGUGCUUUAGACCUCACUGGGAGUAAUUAUCGUUUCUGCAGGUGGCUACUGCUUCCUCCCUGUGAAAUUACAUUUUUUUUUAUGUUAUACGGUAAUUAUUGACCGUAAUAACUUACGUGAACCGUAUUUUUUCUGUAUCAAGUACAGAGAGAGAGAGAGAGAGAGAGAGAGAGAGAGAGAGAGAGAGAGAGAGAGAGAGAGAGAGAGAGAGAGAGAGAGAGAGAGAGUAGUCAAAAGUAUCUGGACCCUACCCCUUGGAGUGGCCAUCUUAUGGCGAAAAAAGGGUGGUGUUACGUGAGUAAAAUUAUGUA